GGCGAUCAGAUACCGCCCUAGUUCUAACCGUAAACGAUGACAACCAGCGAUUAAUCGGCGUUAAUAUACGACCCGAUUAGCAGCUUCCGGGAAACCAAAGUUUUUCGUUUCCGGGGGAAGUAUGGUUGCAAAGCUGAAACUUAAAGGAAUUGACGGAAGGGCACCACCAGGAGUGGAGCCUGCGGCUUAAUUUGACUCAACACGGGAAAACUCACCCGGCCCGGACACUGUAAGGAUUGACAGACUGAGAGCUCUUUCUUAAUUCAGUGGGUGGUGGUGCAUGGCCGUUCUUAGUUGGUGGAGCGAUUUGUCUGGUUAAUUCCGAUAACGAACGAGACUCUGGCCUAUUAAAUAGACGAGGUAUUUACAUGUAUCUCGCGCUUCUUAGAGGGACAAGCGGCGUCUAGUCGCAUGAAAAAGAGCAAUAACAGGUCUGUGAUGCCCUUAGAUGUCCGGGGCUGCACGCGCGCUACACUGAAAGAAUCAGCGUGCAUUUAAACCUAGUCCGGAAGGACCGGGUAACCCAAGUAAAUUCUUUCGUGCUUGGGAUAGGGAAUUGCAAUUAUUUCCCUUAAACGAGGAAUUCCCAGUAAAUGCGGGUCAUAAGCUCGCGUUGAUUACGUCCCUGCCCUUUGUA
rnacentral:rRNA from 1 species